UAGGGAAUCUUCGGCAAUGGACGAAAGUCUGACCGAGCAACGCCGCGUGAGUGAAGAAGGUUUUCGGAUCGUAAAACGCUGUUGUUAGAGAAGAACAAGGACGUUAGUAACUGAACGUCCCCUGACGGUAUCUAACCAGAAAGCCACGGCUAACUACGUGCCAGCAGCCGCGGUAAAACGUAGGUGGCAAGCGUUGUCCGGAUGUAUUGGGCGUAAAGCGAGCGCGGGCGGUUUCUUAAGUCUGAUGUGAAAGCCCCCGGCUCAACCGGGGAGGGUCAUUGGAAACUGGGAGACUUGAGUGCAGAAGAGGAGAGUGGAAUUCCAUGUGUAGCGGUGAAAUGCGUAGAUAUAUGGAGGAACACCAGUGGCGAGGGCGGCUCUCUGGUCUGUAACUGACGCUGAGGCUCGAAAGCGUGGGGAGCAAACAGG
rnacentral:rRNA from 1 species